rnacentral:misc_RNA from 1 species
GGAAGGAUCAUUACCGAGACGCCAGGGGAGGGAGGACCGCCAGGGAGACCUGGUGCCCGCCCCUCCCCGAACCCUCGCACAUUUUGUUUAAGUCCCAGUUGCUUCGGCGGGGUCGAGUGCGGACCAAAGGAGGAGGGCCCAGCGCCCGCCCUCCGUUGCCCCGUGCCCCCCCGUCAGAGGACCGUUAACACCCCGUUUUUUGAACCGUCCAGUCCGACAAAACAAAACAGAAUCAAAACUUUCAACAACGGAUCUCUUGGCUCUGGCAUCGAUGAAGAACGCAGCGAAAUGCGAUACGUAAUGUGAAUUGCAGAAUUCCGUGGAUCAUCGAAUCUUUGAACGCACAUUGCGCCCUCUGGAAUUCCGGAGGGCACGCCUGUCCGAGCGUCGUCACGCCCCUCAGAGCCCCGGUUCUGGUCUUGGGAGCGGUCGGGACUCCCCUCGCCGGGAGCCGCGACCCUCCUGCAAUGCGUUGGCGGGAUCCCUGGAGCCUCAGUCGCAGCAGCACGCCACGACUUGGAGCGCCUCGGGUGGUCCCACGCCAGUCGAACCCCCCACACCACACGUUCGACCUCGGAUCAGGCGGGAGUACCCGCUGAACUUAAGCAUAUCAAUAAGCGGAGGAAAAGAAACCAACAGGGAUUGCCUCAGUAACGGCGAGUGAAGCGGCAAAAGCUCAAAUUUGAAAUCUGGCACCCGCCCGAGUUGUAAUUUGCAGAGGAUGCUUCGGCUCGGCCCCGGCCCAAGUUCCCUGGAACGGGACGUCGCAGAGGGUGAGAAUCCCGUCGCGGCCGGCGGCCUACGCCAUGUGAAGCUCCUUCGACGAGUCGAGUUGUUUGGGAAUGCAGCUCCAAACGGGAGGUAAAUCUCUCCCAAAGCUAAAUACCGGCCAGAGACCGAUAGCGCACAAGUAGAGUGAUCGAAAGAUGAAAAGCACUUUGGAAAGAGGGUUAAACAGUACGUGAAAUUGUUGAAAGGGAAGCGCUUGCGACCAGACUCGUGCGCGGGGACUUGCUCCCUGUGCCCGGGCCAGCAUCGGUUCGGGCGGCGGGACGAAGGCGGCAGGGAACGUGGCCCUCCCCUCGGGGGGGGUGUUAUAGCCCAGCCGUCGACGCUGCCAGCCUGGACCGAGGAACGCGUUCGCUAGGAUGCUGGCGUAAUGGUCGCAAGCGGCCCGUCUUGAAACACGGACCAAGGAGUCUAACAUCUACGCGAGUGUCUGGGUGUCAAGCCCGCACGCGAAAUGAAAGUGAACGGAGGUGGGAACCCUUGCUCGCAGGGGUGCACCAUCGACCGAUCCUGAUGUCUUCGGAUGGAUUUGAGUGGGAGCGUAGCCGUUGGGACCCGAAAGAUGGUGAACUAUGCCUGUGUAGGCUGAAGUCAGAGGAAACUCUGAUGGAAGGUCGCAGCGGUUCUGACGUGCAAAUCGAUCGUCAAACAUGGGCAUAGGGGCGAAAGACUAAUCGAACCAUCUAGUAGCUGGUUCACGC